AGGAAAACAGAUUUAACAUCGACGUGCACGUUCGAGUAAACGCGUCGCGUCGCGUCGCGUCGCGUCGCGUCGCGGUCACGCUACCCAUCUACACCGGCCUCUUCGACGAUUACAAGUCAUUUUCGCGACGGCGACACGUAAAAACUCGAGACAUCGCAGAUUACGAGAGUGGAGAGAUUCAAGCGGCAUACACUCGUCAUAAUGGCCAUUAGAUUUCCCUCAUCGUUUGUUUUUCUUCCCCGAGCGAGGUGAAAGACCUCUCGACGGAGAGAUGCGAACCGGUAGAACCGCAGCGAUACGAGCGAGUCGAUCGAUUACACUCGAGCGAUUUAACGCGAUAAUCGAUACCGUUUACGAUCACUCGCGAGUGUGAAAGAGCUAUAAUCCGUUCGCCCGUUCAAGUUUCUUUACUUACGUAUUUCGUACACCGUGACCCGCGAGACUUUACUGAAGUUAGCCCUUUCUUCGGAGAUAAUGGCCGAGAGCAGUGGUAAUUCCUUUUUCCCGUCAAAUUAUAACUCGAAUAUGUCGCGACGAACGCGUCGAAGCUCUCGUCAUAUUCGAUAUCAAAGCCAGCGUGGUCUUGGCACUUUUCUUUCUCUUUUCGGAACUUGCACCGGGUCACAUGAUUUCAUUUCGCGUCUCGCAUACGAUUCCCCCGAGUCGAGAACAAGGUUCGUCCGUCUCCGUCUUUCGUUUCGCAUAGAUCCAUCAACGUCGCGAGACGCGUCGGGAUUUCCCGGUAACAAUUCUCGCAAUUUUAACCUCAACGAUUUGAACGUCCGCCAUUGAUUGUCGCGCGCGUAAGAAAGCAUUCUGUCGAGACGCGAGACGCUUUCCGUCUUCGUCGCGAUACGUAACGCGAGCCCAACCGCACAGACUCUCUCCCUUUCGCCGGAUAAAAAGACAAAGAGAAAAAAGAUUUGAAUUCACCGGGAGUGUCGCGACAGAUGAACGACGACAACGCGCGAAUUAGCCGAACAAUCGCGCACGGAACGAAGCGGCGAAUCAUCUCGACGAGAGUGCCCGACGCGUGCUCGACCUGGUGAAAAAUCGCCGUCGCUUUGCAUUCUCGAAUAUUCCUCGCGGAUAGCAGUGCGCGAUCGCGCGAAUUAAUAGCCGAAAAGUGCGUGGGUAAAGUACUGGCGCGAGGUCGCGAUUACGGCACGAAACGGACGCGAGGGCCACGCUCGGCUCGAUGGCCGCGAACGAACAUUCGCCACAACGAUCGGCAAGGAAGCACGGGCCGCCGCCACUGAACCGAUCGCACUUAUGAUCGUUUAGCACCGAUUGAUAAGAGAGAGACACGCCCUGCGCCGCGAUCGUCAUCGUUGCGCGUUGCACAUCACAAGUUCAUCGCCGGUCCUCCGUCCUCCGUCCUCCGCACCGACGAGACAGACUCACGUUUCCGUCGAUGGACUCGGUAGCGGAACGUGGGGCCACCUAGCCGUCCAGCAGUCGCUGUCCCUGAUCUGGUGUGCUACGGACGUGAUGUCCCCGCGGUAUAUACACUCCAUCCUUAUAACUUGCCAAUAACGCCAAUCAUGGAAACGCAGAGCGAGAUGCCGGGAAACACAACGGUGGGUAGCACGCUGUUAGACCAAGAACUCCAUCGAAUUCUCAUGGAGCGUAGGGAAGAAUGCUGGAAGCUGAAAGACAUGAACACGACGCUGCCGCCAGAGCCAUAUUGUCCCCUUACAUUCGAUGGGUGGUCCUGUUGGCCGAACACUCCAGCGGGGUCGACUGUGUACACGCGAUGUCCGAACUUCAUCACCGGUUUUGACGCAUCACUAAUGGCGUACAAAUAUUGCGACGAGAACGGCACAUGGUACCGGCAUCCCGAGUCUAAUCAGAUAUGGAGCAAUUACACGACCUGCGUGAAUCUGCAGGAUCUGAGCUGGCAGCAAAAACUAAACGGAAUCUACGAGGCGGGAUACGCGAUAUCCUUGGUGGCGCUAUUGCUCUCCUUGGGAAUCCUCACGUACUUCCGAUCUCUGAGAUGCGCACGGAUUACGCUGCAUAUGAACCUAUUCACUUCAUUCGCGCUCAACAAUGCUCUGUGGCUGAUCUGGUACAGGUUCAUCGUGGCCAAUACGGAUGUACUAAUUAAUAACGACAUACCGUGCCGCGUAUUGCAUGUGGUCCUUCAUUAUUUUCUAUUAACAAACUACGCCUGGAUGCUCUGCGAGGGCUUCUAUCUGCACACCCUGCUGGUGAACGCAUUCACCAGCGAGCACAAAUUAGUGAAUUGGCUGAUGGGACUCGGAUGGUCGGUGCCGGCUGUAAUCGUCACCUUGUACACGGCACUGCGCGCCUCCAGCAACGAUCCUGCGGACACCGAGCAGUGCUGGAUCAACGAGGGCAGCUAUAUGAGCGUGCUUGUUUAUCCCGUAUGCGUAUCCACUAUGUUGAACCUGCUCUUCCUGUUUAACAUCGUGCGAGUGCUCCUCAUGAAGUUGCGCGCCGGACCCGCCAUCGGAACGCGCCCGUCGCGAUUCAUGCUGCAGGCUUUCAGGGCAACGUUACUGUUAGUACCUCUCUUGGGUCUUCACUAUUUAGUGAUCCCAUUUCGGCCGCCCAAGAAGCAUCCUUGGGAGCAGUUUUACGAGGUCCUUUCUGCGAUCACGGCUUCCUUCCAGGGCCUCUGUGUGGCGGUACUUUUCUGCUUCUGCAACGGCGAGGUAAUAGCGCAGUUCAAGAGAAAGUGGGAGAACAGCGUACCGUUGCGAAAACGAACAAACUCCUACACGGCCACGACUGUCUCGGUCCGAUGGGGGCGGGAGAGGAGAAGGUGUGAUUAUCAACCAGCCGCGUCGACGAUGCCGGAAGACUGCAAGCUGACUGACCCAAUGCUGACUCAGCAUCAGGAGCAACAAUACCAAGCCGUGCAGAUGAUCACCACCAGUCGGACCAGUAAUCACGGUAACAACAACCACGCGCAGGUGCUCGUCAAGCGUGGCGACUUGGAUGACAAGAGCGACCAGACACAGUGUUAAUGACCAUCGAUCGAGCAGGAUUGAUAGCGCACAGGACCACGCUUAAUAGUAUUGCACGAAGAAAUCCGAUGGCAGCUAAAUAGAAAAAUCUCCGACACGCUUCAUGAAAGUUCGCUUUAUCAAUUUGGGGCGGCUCCGUUAACGAAAAGCCGUAGAGAUGAAAGUUUCAAGAUUCGUUCGCGUAUAUUUCCUCGCAAUUUCCUCGCUUUUGACAUCCUCGCGACUAAGACGAGAUAGACAUAUGUUUCCAACUCGUAAGUUCUAAACCAGUUGCUGCAACUAUAUUGGAUUAUAACAUCUCAGAGGCAAGAAAUCAAGCGUAAUUUCUUCCUCCAUCUUCUUCCAUUGUACGCGAAAGUUGAUGACAUUUCUUCUUCGUACAGGAUAUCUCAUUUCCAUCGCAGACACUUUGACCAACUUAUAUAUAAUGAAGAUAAAAAGCUACAAAUCAAUUUUAGAGACAGACUCAAACUGAGAAAUAACAAAUAAAAAAGUCCUGUCGCAAUUAUUAAUGCAUCAAGACAAAUAAAAUUAAGAUUAGGGGGUCGUUUUAAUACUGUCGAAAUCGAUAGAAAUAAAUUUUUGUAAAAGUAA